AGGAGGAGGAAGAGGAGGAGGGAUGGCGGUGGUGGUGGGAGGAGGCUGAGGGGCCAACAAGCUCCCUCUUGGCAGCCUUGCAGCAGCAGCAGGAAGGAUGGAGGCAGAGCAAAAAGGACCUUUCUAAACCAUCCACGCAGUCGCUCGGCACCAAUCUGGAAAUUCUGAUGGGAAGGAAGCGAGUGCGAACCAUCCGGGCUGCCCAUUCGCUGCAGCCUUGAAUCCAUCCAAAACCUCCAUGGAGCAGGAUGUGGAGAGCCCGGCCAUCAGCAAAGCGUCCAAGCUGCCCAAGCCGGCCGGCAAGGAUCUCCCCAAGCAGCUGGCGGCCAUGGACCGGGCCCGCAGGGUCCAGCGCUACGUCCAGAAAGACGGCAAGUGCAACGUCCACCACGGCAACGUGCGCGAGACCUAUCGCUACUUGACGGACCUCUUCACCACGCUAGUGGACCUCAAGUGGCACUUCAACCUUUUCAUCUUUGUCCUGGUGUACACGGUCACGUGGCUCUUCUUCGGCUUCAUGUGGUGGCUCAUCGCAUACCUGCGGGGGGACCUGGAGCACCUAGCGGACGACCGCUGGACUCCGUGCGUCAAUAAUCUCAACAGCUUCGUGUCGGCCUUUCUGUUCUCCAUCGAGACGGAAACAACCAUCGGUUACGGAUACCGGGUUAUCACGGACAAGUGCCCCGAGGGGAUCCUCCUGCUCCUGAUUCAGUCGGUACUGGGAUCUAUCGUCAAUGCCUUCAUGGUGGGCUGCAUGUUCGUCAAGAUCUCCCAGCCCAAGAAACGUGCCGAGACUCUGGUGUUUUCCACCAACGCCGUCAUCUCCAUGAGAGACGGCCGCCUGUGCCUGAUGUUCCGGGUGGGGGACCUGCGGAACUCGCACAUCGUGGAGGCCUCCAUCCGGGCCAAGCUGAUCAAGUCCAAGCAGACCAAGGAGGGCGAGUUCAUUCCCCUGAACCAGACGGACAUAAAUGUGGGCUACAACACCGGCGACGACAGGCUGUUCCUCGUGUCGCCGCUCAUCAUCUGCCAUGAGAUCAACCAGAACAGUCCCUUCUGGGAGAUCUCGCCAGCCCACCUAGCCAAGGAGGAGCUGGAAAUAGUCGUUAUUUUGGAGGGCAUGGUCGAGGCCACCGGCAUGACGUGCCAGGCCCGCAGCUCGUACGUGAGCAGCGAGAUCAAGUGGGGUUACCGCUUCACGCCCGUGCUCACGCUGGAGGACGGCUUCUACGAGGUGGACUACAACAGCUUCCACGACAUCUACGAGACCAACACGCCCGCCUGCAGCGCCCGUCAGUUGGCUGACAUGAGUGGCCACCCCCGCCUGCCCCUCACCUGGUCCAUGGGAAGCAGGCUGAGCCAGCAGGGCCUGGCGCCCGAGGCCGAGCGCCAGGACGCACGGACUGAGCGCAACGGAGAUGUCGCCAACGCUGAGAGCGAGUCCAAAGUGUAGCACACGCUCGUGCAGGCCACGAUCUGGUCGUCGGUGAGAAAACAAGGCGACGAGUUCAAGUCUCACCGACCGCCAGAUCCCUCUUAUUUUUUCUAUUCCAAUAUUCCUAUAGGCAUAUUAAGUAUUUUUGUACAUAAUAUGUUUUGGACUCCAUUUGGUUUCUCGGGUUUGCCGUGUGAAUAUUUGGCAGAUGUUUGAUACUAAUACGCUGGUUUAGCUUUGGCUUGUACAUAAUCUACGCCUUACUUAAGCCUUGCCUACACUCGCAAACGGCUCUUUCCAAACAUUCUGAAACGUUGUGAUUGCUAGAAUUGUUUUCAUGGUUUUGGUCAAAUGAACGCAAACUUGUUUGGAAUUAUUUGGACGUGUUUAUUCACCAAAACAUGUUUGCUGUAGUCUGGCCAAUCAGAGACGAGGUGGUGAUCAUGUGACUCACGGGCUGGACAAAAUGGCUUCUUGCACUCAGACGCAAGGGAAGAAGUUGGGCAUAUGAUGAAAUGAAGAAUAUAAGAAACGUCUUUGUCUAGAACGCAACAAGAUUGAACAACUGCAAGGAAAGAGAGAAGAAAGCGACGCCAUCGAAGCAGAUUGCAGAUGUGCUUGGACCAGAUUUUACAGUAGCUCCGACCGGUCCACGUGGAUGCCGCGACGCUCCGUCUUCUGACUCAUGCUGCAAAACGAGAAAAUGUUUUUGGUGGUAAGUCAAAAUACCAUUAGCACCCAAAUAAACUGGUGGCAAAGGACUACUUUUGUCUAAAUGCUCUGCAUCUCAGUAUAAUCAAACCAGGCUGGAUACUAAAUGUCUUUCUGUGUCCAUGCAUCUUUCUUUGAGGGGCGGGGCCUGUUGGUGGCGUGUGACGUAUGCAUGUGAGUGUCAGGGUGUGAACUUGGGUUGACGGCAGUUCCAUUGUGCUUGAGUGUGCGUUCAUCAGUUGGCAUUCCGAAAAGUUGCCCACAAGGAAGGGCAUCAUAGAAAGUACACAGUAAAAACCUGAGCCCAAAAAAAUGCGGGCACGAUCGAUGAACACAGAUGCUCUCCUCAGGCUACCCUAAGACACAAGAGGCUCCAUUUUGCUGGGCUUUAAGCAUUGCUAUAAUUUCUUGUCAUGUGCUGACCUGCAUUCCAGUCCGCAUUGCAUUUUAACUUCGGCAUUUGAACGUCUAUAAACAUUUUUGUGUUGCAAUUGCACCUUCAGUGGCAUGUCGCUAACGUUAGCCCCAUUUGCUGCAGCUAAACCUGUAGGACGACUAAGAGCAGAACUGCAAGCUGUGAAAUUUUAACGAGUAAUUUCUCAUGAAUCUACGAUGUGAAAUGCUCACCUGUUUAGUUUUUGAUGCACAAAUGUAGUUCUUUUCUUUCAGCUCCGAUUGCGGUCAACUUUGCCGAACACGACGAGAAGCUUCUUCGAGAUUCUCCUUUGUGAUACGGUCAAAAAGUUAAACGAUCCCCAGAAUAAAAUCGCGUACUCCUUUUGACGAAAAAUAGAGCCAAAUAU